AUUGAACGCUGGCGGCAGGCCUAACACAUGCAAGUCGAGCGGAUGAAGGGAGCUUGCUCCUGGAUUCAGCGGCGGACGGGUGAGUAAUGCCUAGGAAUCUGCCUGGUAGUGGGGGAUAACGUCCGGAAACGGGCGCUAAUACCGCAUACGUCCUGAGGGAGAAAGUGGGGGAUCUUCGGACCUCACGCUAUCAGAUGAGCCUAGGUCGGAUUAGCUAGUUGGUGGGGUAAAGGCCUACCAAGGCGACGAUCCGUAACUGGUCUGAGAGGAUGAUCAGUCACACUGGAACUGAGACACGGUCCAGACUCCUACGGGAGGCAGCAGUGGGGAAUAUUGGACAAUGGGCGAAAGCCUGAUCCAGCCAUGCCGCGUGUGUGAAGAAGGUCUUCGGAUUGUAAAGCACUUUAAGUUAGGAGGAAGGGCAGUAAGUUAAUACCUUGCUGUUUUGACGUUACCAACAGAAUAAGCACCGACUAACUUCGUG
rnacentral:rRNA from 1 species